rnacentral:tRNA from 1 species
GAGACUUAGCUCAGUUGGUCAGAGCACUUGCCUUACAAGCAAGGGGUCAACGGUUCAAGUCCGCUAGUCUCC